CACGUAGGGCGCGAGCGUUGUCCGGAAUUAUUGGGCGUAAAGAGCUCGUAGGCGGCCUGUUGCGUCCGCUGUGAAAGCCCGGGGCUUAACCCCGGGUCGGCAGUGGAUACUGCAGGGCUAGAGUCCGGAAGAGGCGGGUGGAAUUCCUGGUGUAGCGGUGGAAUGCGCAGAUAUCAGGAGGAACACCAACGGCGAAGGCAGCCCGCUGGGACGGUACUGACGCUGAGGCGCGAAAGCGUGGGGAGCGAACAGG
rnacentral:rRNA from 1 species